GCAUCUAUUUUUUAUUCUUCAAAGUAAGAAUUGAAGGUUUCGUUUUCUUCUUUUUUUUGUUGCAUUAAUUCUGAUUUUUUUAAAAAAUAUUGCAUUGUGUUUUUGUAAUAUAGAUAAAGAAUUUAUAUAUACUUUGAUUAUUACUAGAGGCGACACUAGUCUCACUUUAUCUGAUGCCUUGUUACCAGGAUAAACAAAUAUUUUACCUAGC
rnacentral:lncRNA from 1 species